rnacentral:rRNA from 1 species
AUGAACGCUGGCGGCAGGCCUAAAACAUGCAAGUCGAACGCUGUAGCAAUACAGAGUGGCGCACGGGUGAGUAACAUGUGGGAAUAUGCCUAUUGGUACGGAACAACGUUUGGAAACGAACGCUAAUACCGUAUGGUCCCUUCGGGGUAAAGAUUUAUCGCCAUUGGAUGGGCCCGCGUCGGAUUAGCUAGUUGGUGAGGUAAUGGCUCACCAAGGCGACGAUCCGUAGCUGGUUUGAGAGAAUGACCAGCCACACUGGGACUGAGACACGGCCCAGACUCCUACGGGAGGCAGCAGUGGGGAAUAUUGGACAAUGGGCGCAAGCCUGAUCCAGCCAUGCCGCGUGAGUGACGAAGGCCUUAGGGUUGUAAAGCUCUUUUGGCGGGGACGAUAAUGACGGUACCCGCAGAAUAAGUCCCGGCUAACUUCGU